GACCCUGUGGUGCAGUGGUAGCACGCGUUCUCGGUACGAGUGAAACGUGGGUUCGACUCCCGUCUGUGGUUG